GAAGAGAGAGUUCAAGAGUACGUGAAACCGUCUGGGAGUAAACGGGUGGUUCCCGAAAGUGCGAAAGGGGAGAUUCAGUCUCGCCGUGCGCCGGGCCUCGCCCGCGACUCGGGAUGGCGUUCUCGCGGCCGUGGGGCGACCCACGGUCCGGGANNNUCGCCACCCCGCGGGCGCGGUCUCUCCCGGCGUCGGAGUGACGCACUUCUCCCCCGGUAGAACGUCGCGAUCCGUCGGUCGCCGGCCUAAGGUCCCCGGUGGAGACUGCGCGGUUCGCCGCGCACGACCCGGGGGUUCCCGGCCGGGUGCCCGACGGUAUGAAGAGAGGAAGGAGUCGGCGCGCCCCAUUGAGCGGGCGUCCGCCCCUCCGCAAGCGCCCGCGGGAGUCGGGAGUCCGGGCCCGGCCCGGCUUCCUUCUUCAGCGGGGCUGUUUGCGAGAUAUGGAGGUGAGCUCGGAC
rnacentral:rRNA from 1 species